CGCAGUCGAGGGGUAUACUUCUUCGGGAGUAGAGACCGGCGCACGGGUGCGUAACGCGUAUGCAAUCUACCUUUUACAGAGGGAUAGCCCAGAGAAAUUUGGAUUAAUACCUCAUAGCAUAGCAACUUCGCAUGAAGUCACUAUUAAAGUCACAACGGUAAAAGAUGAGCAUGCGUCCCAUUAGCUAGUUGGUAAGGUAACGGCUUACCAAGGCUACGAUGGGUAGGGGUCCUGAGAGGGAGAUCCCCCACACUGGUACUGAGACACGGACCAGACUCCUACGGGAGGCAGCAGUGAGGAAUAUUGGACAAUGGGCGCAAGCCUGAUCCAGCCAUGCCGCGUGCAGGAUGACGGUCCUAUGGAUUGUAAACUGCUUUUAUACAGGAAGAAACCCUGGUUCGUGAACCAGCUUGACGGUACUGUAAGAAUAAGGAUCGGCUAACUCCGUGCCAGCAGCCGCGGUAAUACGGAGGAUCCAAGCGUAUCCGGAAUCAUUGGGUUUAAAGGGUCCGUAGGCGG
rnacentral:rRNA from 1 species